rnacentral:rRNA from 1 species
UACGGAGGGUGCAAGCGUUAUCCGGAUUCACUGGGCUUAAAGGGUGCGUAGGCGGGCAGGUAAGUCAGUGGUGAAAUCUCCGGGCUUAACCCGGAAACUGCCAUUGAUACUAUCAGUCUUGAAUACCGUGGAGGUAAGCGGAAUAUGUCAUGUAGCGGUGAAAUGCUUAGAUAUGACAUAGAACACCAAUUGCGAAGGCAGCUUACUAGCCGAAUAUUGACACUGAGGCACGAAAGCGUGGGGAGCAAACAGG